rnacentral:lncRNA from 1 species
GCUUCUUCCUCCAGACUUCAGUUUCCUAAAAUUAAGGAGUUAGAAUAGAUGAACUCUAAAAUCCUUGGAGGCUCUAAUAUUCUAAGAUUUCAUGACCUGGAUAGCAAAAAGCUAAGGAGAAUAAUACAAGGUAGACCCCAAAAUAUGUAAUCUGUGUUCUUAUAUAGAAUAAUGGAUGGCCAUCUAGUCCAACCCCAUCAUCAUAAUGUUGAAGGAACUGUGGCCCAAGGAGAUGAAAUGAAUUUCCCAACAUCACACAGACGGCGAGGAUCAGAGGGUUCUCCUAGAGUUAAGCAACAAAUGGAAUCUGUCACAGAGUAUUUGCAGGUCCUAUUACUGAAGAAAGCUGUAAUGCUGUUGAAAUGCUACCCAGGCUGAACAUUUUUCAGUCUGUACAUCAGCAGAAUACUUCCCUAACAAGCAGCCUACUUGUGUCCACCAUGGAUGUGUCUAUUACCACUUGGAGAACCUACAACUUCUACUCUUUGAAGAUGGCAGCCUUGCAAAAUUAACAACCACUUUGUAUAUCAACAUUUGUGUUUACAAGAUACGUUUGAGGCCAGGAUGCAGAUUGACAUGGCUAAAAAGCACUUUAGAAGACCAACAAGUCUUAUCCCAAAGAAAGAAGUAUGAGGCUGACCCACUACCAGUCACCAAGAGUUUAGGGUCAGCAUGGCAAGGAAGCUGACCCUUACCAGCAGCCUUUCCACUCCCCCAUUGCCUCAGAGAGCCCUUGCUCAUGACUAAUGUCCCUCCUGAGGAUGUGGCUACUCCCUGCAAGAGAGAGGCCAAAUCAGGUACCUCAGGGUCAACUUUUAUGAACCCACGUGCACCUCUACAUCUGUCUUCAAAUCCCUGCCCAAUUCUGAGGCCCUGCAAUAUGACAGCGGCAUAAUAUUUUAUAGGCUUGGAUGCUUUUGAUGAAGCUCUGGAAGAUUUCAAGAAAAUAUGAGCCUUGAUUACUGGAUUUUGAGCCGUUACCUUGAACUUAAAAGCAAGCCAUUUUAGACAACGCUGUUAUUGAAAAUUCUAACUUAAUUAAA